rnacentral:misc_RNA from 1 species
AAAGUCGUAACAAGGUAACCGUAGGUGAACCUGCGGUUGGAUCAUUAAUAAGUUUUGGUUCUAGUAACCGAACAAUCUUGUGUGCUAUGUAUACUGUUUCUCGUGAAUCGAGCGCGUAAUUUUUGUGAUGAAAAUUAUGCCUGCGCCCGGAUAUGUCAUGUAUCUGGGAGUGCUGGUUCACGAAAGGACCGGGUGAUGAAUUUCAUCUGGUUCCGAACAAACCUUUUUUAUAUUUUUGUUUUGUCUUACUUUUUUUUCACAUUUAAUGUGUAAAUUUUAUAACAACUUUUGACAACGGAUCUCUUGGCUCUC